rnacentral:rRNA from 1 species
GCCUCGGCACGAACAGCCCGCUCCGGUAAAACGGGACGGCCCGCCAGAGGACCCCUAAACUCUGUUUCUAUAUGUAACUUCUGAGUAAAACCAUAAAUAAAUCAAAACUUUCAACAACGGAUCUCUUGGUUCUGGCAUCGAUGAAGAACGCAGCAGAAUGCGAUAAGUAAUGUGAAUUGCAGAAUUCAGUGAAUCAUCGAAUCUUUGAACGCACAUUGCGCCCGCCAGUAUUCUGGCGGGCAUGCCUGUUCGAGCGUCAUUUCAACCCUCAAGCACAGCUUGGUGUUGGGACUCGCGUUAAUUCGCGUUCCUCAAAUUGAUUGGCGGUCACGUCGAGCUUCCAUAGCGUAGUAGUAAAACCCUCGUUACUGGUAAUCGUCGCGGCCACGCCGCUAAACCCCAACUUCUGAAUGUUGACCUCGGAUCAGGUUGGAAUACCCGCUGAACUUACGCAAAUAAGAAACCGGAAGG